GAAAGUGCUGAUAAUACCUGAUAACAUCCAGGAGUCGCAUGGCUCUUGGAUCAAAGAUGGGGACCUUCGGGCCUGUCGGUGAAAGAUCAGCCCAUGUCCUAUCAGCUUGUUGGUGGGGUAAUGGCCUACCAAGGCGACGACGGGUAGCCGGCGUGAGAGCGUGAUCGGCCACAUCGGGACUGAGACACUGCCCGGACACCUACGGGUGGCUGCAGCAACGAACAUUCCGCAAUGGACGAAAGUCUGACGGAGCGACGCCGCGUGGGGGAUGAAGUCCUUCGGGAUGUAAACUCCAAUAGUUUGUCAGGAAGUGAACGAGGCUAAUACCCUCGUGAGUUGACCAGCAUACGAAAGGGGCGGCUAAUUCCGUGCCAGCAGCCGCGGUAAUACGGAAGCCCCAAGCGUUGUUCGGAAUCACUGGGCUUAAAGAGCGUGUAGGCGGGAUGGUAAGUACUUUGUGAAAGCCCCGGCUUCAAUCCGGGAAUUGCUUGGUAUACUGCUAUCCUUGAGGCAGGUAGGGGUGACUGGAACCUUAGGUGGAGCGGUGAAAUGCGUAGAUAUCUAAGGGAACACCUGUGGCGAAAGCGGGUCACUAGGCCUGUCCUGACGCUGAGACGCGAAAGCGUAGGGAGCGAACGGGAUUAGAUACCCCGGUAGUCUACGCCGUAAACGAUGCGCACUAGGUUCGAGAACCUCUGACGGUUUUCGUGCCGAAACAAAAGCGAUAAGUGCGCCGCCUGGGGAGUACGGCCGCAAGGCUAAAACUCAAAGGAAUUGACGGGGGCUCACACAAGCGGUGGAGCAUGUGGAUUAAUUCGAAGCAACGCGAAGAACCUUACCUGGGUUUGACAUGCAUGGAUGCCCUCUUGGAAACAGGAGUAAGCUGCCUUCGGGUGAAACAUGCACAGGUGCUGCAUGGCUGUCGUCAGCUCGUGCUGUGAAGUGUCGGGUUAAGUCCCUUAA
rnacentral:rRNA from 1 species